AGAAAUGUUUACAUGGAAGCGUUCUUAGCGGCGGACGGGUGAGUAACACGUGGGUAACCUGCCUCAAAGUGGGGGAUAGCCUUCCGAAAGGAAGAUUAAUACCGCAUAAGCCUACAGUGCCGCAUGGCACCGUAGGAAAAGGAGCAAUCCGCUUUGAGAUGGACCCGCGGCGCAUUAGCUAGUUGGUGAGGUAACGGCUCACCAAGGCGACGAUGCGUAGCCGACCUGAGAGGGUGAUCGGCCACAUUGGAACUGAGACACGGUCCAGACUCCUACGGGAGGCAGCAGUGGGGAAUAUUGCACAAUGGGCGAAAGCCUGAUGCAACAACGCCGCGUGAGUGAUGAAGGCCUUCGGGUCGUAAAGCUCUUUGAUCAGGGAUGAUAAUGACAGUACCUGAAAAACAAGCCACGGCUAACUACGUGCCAGCAGCCGCGGUAAUACGUAGGUGGCGAGCGUUGUCCGGAAUUACUGGGCGUAAAGGAUGCGUAGGUGGAUACUUAAGUGGGAUGUGAAAUCCCCGGGCUCAACCCGGGAACUGCAUUCCAAACUGGGUAUCUAGAGUGCAGGAGAGGAAAGCGGAAUUCCUAGUGUAGCGGUGAAAUGCGUAGAUAUUAGGAGGAACACCAGUGGCGAAGGCGGCUUUCUGGACUGUAACUGACACUGAGGCAUGAAAGCGUGGGUAGCAAACAGGAUUAGAUACCCUGGUAGUCCACGCCGUAAACGAUGGGUACUAGGUGUAGGAGGUAUCGACCCCUUCUGUGCCGUCGUUAACACAAUAAGUACCCCGCCUGGGGAGUACGGUCGCAAGACUAAAACUCAAAGGAAUUGACGGGGGCCCGCACAAGCGGCGGAGCAUGUGGUUUAAUUCGAAGCAACGCGAAGAACCUUACCUAGACUUGACAUCUCCUGAAUUACCCUUAACCGGGGAAGCCCUUCGGGGCAGGAAGACAGGUGGUGCAUGGUUGUCGUCAGCUCGUGUCGUGAGAUGUUGGGUUAA
rnacentral:rRNA from 1 species